rnacentral:rRNA from 1 species
UACGGAGGGUGCAAGCGUUGUCCGGAAUCACUGGGCGUAAAGGGCGCGUAGGCGGCUCAUGAAGGCUGUGGUGAAAGUCCGGGGCUCAACCUCGGAUCGGCCGUGGCGACUCGUGGGCUGGAGCACUGUAGAGGCGGGUGGAAUUCCGGGUGUAGCGGUGGAAUGCGUAGAGAUCCGGAAGAACACCGGUGGCGAAGGCGGCCUGCUGGGCAGUAGCUGACGCUGAGGCGCGACAGCGUGGGGAGCAAACAGG